GCCCCUUUGGCUCAGUGGAGAGAGCAUCGGCCUGCGGACCGAAGGGUCCUGGGUUCGAUUCCUGGUCAAGGGCA
rnacentral:tRNA from 1 species